rnacentral:rRNA from 1 species
CAGCAGCCGCGGGAAUACGGAGGGUGCAAGCGUUAAUCGGAAUUACUGGGCGUAAAGCGCACGCAGGCGGUCUGACAAGUCAGAUGUGAAAUCCCCGGGCUUAACCUGGGAACUGCAUUUGAAACUGUCAGGCUGGAGUCUUGUAGAGGGGGGUAGAAUUCCAGGUGUAGCGGUGAAAUGCGUAGAGAUCUGGAGGAAUACCGGUGGCGAAGGCGGCCCCCUGGACAAAGACUGACGCUCAGGUGCGAAAGCGUGGGGAGCAAACAGGAUUAGAUACCCGCGAGUCCCUGUCUCUUAUACC